GGUGCGCCCCAGUCGGCCCCGCAGGGCAAAGCCAGUACCGGAAGCGGACGGCGCAGCUGCGGGCACGCGGAGCUGCUGUCCUCGGAUCCCCCCAGGCUGCCGAGGACCGGGCGUCGUCGCAAGUAUCUCGGGUCGACAGGUAGUCCACCCUCACGGAAGUGCUCUGCUGUCCUCAAAACUGGAGAUGUGCCAGCGUAUUUAGAAGCAAGAUAAAAACGCCACCUAGCCCCAUCCCUUGCUUACAUUCCUGGCGGGGAUUUGGUAGUUUGAACACACCUAGGUGUCUGUCCAGUGCCUCAGCCUCAUUCAUUGACCCAUCAAGUGACUUUUGUAAAGUCUCAGGGAGGCUCGAACAGGACCCUGGGUUGUUUAUUUUCUGGCAGCCUUCUUUCAGUGGCAGUACUGUUCUUGACAGGGUUGUGGUUGCUUAUCAACUUUUAUAUGACUCACCGUUCAGUUCAUUUUUGUGAAAACAGUUGUCGGUAAAAUAAAGUAUUUGAAGAAAUCUUUCUAAA